rnacentral:lncRNA from 10 species
GGCUCUACCCCCAUGGAUCUAGGUGGGCUCAAUGUCAUCACAAGGGUGCUUAAGAGGGAAAGAGGAAGCCAUGAGGGUCAGAGUCAAAGGAAGACUUGAAGAUACUACACUGCGGACUUUAAAGAUGAAGGAAGGGGCGAAAACCAAGAAUGUGGGAAGCCUCUAGAAGCUAGAGAAGGCAAGGAAACAAAUUUUCCACUAGAGCCUCCAGAAGGAACACAGCCCUGCUGACCCACUGUAAUGUCUGACCUCUAGAUGUGUAAGGGUAGUAAGACUGAAAGUCUCAGAAAGGCACUGUUAAAUUCUUAUUCCUCAACUAUGCAACUCAAAACUGGGGUCCUCAGCAGUGAGCGAGGGGUGAGAGAAGACACUGUAUAAACAUGGCACAUCCUCCUGGAAAGUCAACUUUACUCAAAGGUUCUUACACACAGUGACAGCUAGCAGAGUCUAAAAUGCUGACAUUAUGACUUAGAGAUGUGAUAAAGAGAAACAUCUAUUGCAUUUUCUAAAACAUUUGCCAGUUCCCAGUCUACACUUACACUGUCCAAUGGAAAUACAAUGCAAACCAGAAGUGUAAUUGUGACAGUCUCAUGUUGGCCAUGGGGUACUCUCUGCGUCAUGCUAGAAAGAGUUUAUGGUCCCACCUGCAUCCAUGAGAAAGAGAAAACAAAGCUUCAAUUUUAAGUCCUUGGAAAUUCCAUGCCAUUAAGAAACUGCUACUGCCAGCUUUCUGGCGUUAUUCAAAGGGGUAAAAAGUUCAUUACACUAGUGUUCUUAUAAGUGUUGGUUUUAUUUCAUAUUAUUUGAAGAGCUAUUCUGCUUAGUAACAAUAAAUUGCUUGGAAGAUGUCAGACCUGUGUUUGGGUUAGGGGUUGCUUUUAGCUGCAAGUAAGAACACUCACAAAAGAGGGGCUUAAAUGCAACAAAAGGGGAAGGGCUAAGGGCAAAAGGCACAUGACUUCAGCAUCUGUCCCUUAUAGCGAUAACCAUAUUUUCUCUAGAUGCUCAUUGGACAGAACUAUUUCUCAUGGUCAAUCACAACCAAAAGACAGCUGGGGAAAUUCAGGAUUUUAACAGGGCACACUUCCUAUGCUGAACAAAAUCUGAGUUCUUAAUUUUAAAAAAGAAGAGAAUGAUAUUAGAGAGAUACAUGUUCCAUAAUAGUUAUUUAACUGUUCGUUUUUAAUAAACAUCACUUCAUAUCAAA